GCCCGAGUGGCGGAAUGGUAGACGCAAGGGACUUAAAAUCCCUCGAACUUUUUCGUUCGUGCCGGUUCAAGUCCGGCCUCGGGCACCA
rnacentral:tRNA from 1 species